rnacentral:rRNA from 1 species
GUCCACGCCGUAAACGAUGAUAACUAGCUGUCCGGGCUCAUAGAGCUUGGGUGGCGCAGCUAACGCAUUAAGUUAUCCGCCUGGGGAGUACGGUCGCAAGAUUAAAACUCAAAGGAAUUGACGGGGGCCUGCACAAGCGGUGGAGCAUGUGGUUUAAUUCGAAGCAACGCGCAGAACCUUACCAGCGUUUGACAUCCUUGUCGCGAUUACCAGAGAUGGUUUUCUUCAGUUCGGCUGGACAAGUGACAGGUGCUGCAUGGCUGUCGU